rnacentral:rRNA from 1 species
UUUAUAGGGAAACCGAUACACCUUACACAUGCAAGACGAACGCAUAUAAUAUUUUAUAUGAGUAGCGAACGGGUGCGUAACACGUGAGAAUCUACCCAUAGCUUAUGGUUAAAUACCGUAGAAUCUUUUUGAUUUAGAUAUAUAUCGGUUAUGGAUGAGCUUGCGGGGUAUUAGGUAGUUGGUGUGGUAAUGGCGCACCAAGCCCAAGAUGCCUAGCCGGUUUGAGAGAACGAUCGGCCACACUGGGACUGAGACACGGCCCAGACGCUUACGAGCGGCAGCAGUGGGGAAUAUUGGACAAUGGGCGAAAGCCUGAUCCAGUGAUAUCGCUUUAGGGAUGACAGCGACAUACGUUGUAAACCUAAUGGAAUAUGUUUAGAUUAU